AUGCUAUCUUUGUCUAUCUAGCCAAAACUAGGGGAACCCCGAACUGCUGAAAACAUUGCAUAUUGAUGAAGGUAUGCAGGCUUUCAGGAACUUGAAACUGUCUCUCAACACCUACUCAGAUGUACACAAAAUCUUUUUUUUUUUUCCUCAUGCUUUUAGGGGCACAGUCUUCCUAUGUUAUCCUGGAUGCCUUGGAAUUCACCAUGUAGAUCAGGGGCAGAGCCGCCUGUGAUAGCGCAAAGAUGGUGUCAGCAGAGGAAGCAGCGGCUGCCGCCGCCUGGAUGAUGCAGCAGCACUGGUAGCAGUGAGAAGGCAGUGGAAGAGCAGAGAUCCAACAGAGAGCAGAAGGAACUGAGGUGAUGAAAGAAGCUGGGAAGAAGUGGGAAGCCAAUGUCGUAGAAGGCUCGGAAGACAAGAAACUGCAUGUUCAAAGCCAUCAAAUGGUUCCGGGGAGCUGCUGAGACCCAAGAGCCAAUGAUCAAGAUCUCCCAGAUGCAGGGGUUGUAAUGCCUUCACUUUUAGGAGCUAAGUGUCUACACACAAGACGCCUUCGGAUGCUACAGAGAUAGGGUUGAUAGUUACUGAGUACAGGGCCACUGAGAGUCAAGGUCCAGAAUAGAACCAUCAGCACUGGACAGAGCACCCGGAACAGCAAAUCUCUCUGCAUCAUAGUGUCCAGUUCAAGGACCCAGAGCCACGAGCGUCUUCGGAUCCAUUACUCCAGCCCAUGUAUGGAACCUUAGCACUCAAGAGCCCAGAGCCUCAGACGAUGACUCAGCCAACCUUUGCCUCUUUGCAGUUCUCAUCAUGGUAGUGCAAACGAUUCCCCAGCCAGAUGAUUGAUGGGUCAAACUGGAAUCCUGGGAUGGAGGCGUGGCUCAGCAGGUAGCGUGAUUGCUUAACAUGCACAAAACCCUGGGUUUGAUCCCUGGCAUGGAGCAACUAGAGAGUAAUGGUGCCUAUGAGCCCAGCACCUUGGAAGAACGGAAAGAUCAUGAGUUCAAAGCCAGUAUAGAUGCAUAGGGAUUUCAAUGCUCUUGUGGGAUAUUUGAGACUCUGUCUAAAAGAGAGAAAGCUCACGUGGUUAUUUCCAAAUUGGUCAGCCAUGAUGGUUUUUUAAUUAUAAGAGUAAAGUUGCCAUUAACAUUUACUGAGUGUUUGCUGCCUGUCAGGUAGUGGUCCAUAUACUGCCCACACAUUAAUACAGCUUAUUUCAUAACCGUGCCUGUGGUAACCAGUACUACAAUCUUAUUUAAGUUUGUUGAUUUGGGAUACUGAACAUUGAUUCCAGGGCCUCAAGCAUGCUCCACAAGUGAGCUACA
rnacentral:lncRNA from 1 species